rnacentral:lncRNA from 1 species
CAAGAGGUGAGGAAACCUGAGUGUUUAUCUACCAGCUCUCAUGAGACGUUGUUUGAGCACUGCUCCCAGGGUGUGUUCUCCCUUAGCACUUCCUGCCUGCCCUACACAUGGGAUGAGAACAUGCCUGUGGCUAGAGAGAGCCUGCAGACAGAGAGUCACCGGUGCUGGCCAGCAGAAUCCUGUGGGACAGGGUACAUCAGAAGGCAUCUCCAGAUCAGACUGCCUAAUUCUCUGGAUGCAUCCCAGGGUUUGUUCAUCCUGACAUUGUGACACGUUGGGCUAGAUCAUGGCAGAUGAAUAAGAAAGAAUUCCUCUACAUCUUCAGAGCAAUUUUGGGACACUUGCCAACGGUUAAUGGUCUUGCUGUACUAUUAAGACACAGGGACAGAGGAGCUUUGUCAUGUCAUCACCAAGACUGGCUUUAUGGAGAAAGUCAUUAAUCAAGGCAAGCAGAGCAUUUUGCAAAUAUCCAGGCCUGGCAAACCCAGCCACCUCAAUUGAGGAAACUUAUACCUGGAAGAAUCUAAAUGUGACUCAGCCCUCCCUGGAAAUGACUGAGCUUCAGCCUGAAGGACUUCAUUACCUGAGAGAAAUCCUUAUGGAUCAAGCCUAAAUUCUGUUUAUCUAUGCUUUGUUGAAGGUGAGCUUGUUUUCCUAAACUUGUAUGUAAAGCUGUUCACCUGAACCUCUGGACUGGAGGGACUGUUGACACUCGCAGUUCUCUAGAUGGGUCACCACUUGCCCUGCCAGCACCUUGCUCUCACCCAGUUGGAAGGAAGUUUAAUUAAUACAGAGAAGAUGUCAUAGAUAUGAUGAGUUUUAAAUGAACAUAUUAUGAUAACAAAAAAUGUUCCAAAGUUCUACAACCUUCAGUGCCUCCCAAGAAAGAUUUCUGGAAG